UGCAUCGGCCGGGAAUCGAACCCGGGUCGCCCGCGUGGCAGGCGAGGAUUCUACCACUGAACCAAAAGC
rnacentral:tRNA from 1 species